CCCCUAGUAACUGCGAGUGAAGCGGGAAAAGCUCAAAUUUUGAAUCUGGCGGUCUUCAUGGCUGUCCGAGUUGUAAUCUAGAGAAGCGUCUUCCGCGCUGGACCGUGUACAAGUCUCCUGGAAGGGAGCGUCAUGGAGGGUGAGAAUCCCGUCUCUGACACGGACUGCCAGUGCUAUGUGAUGCGCUCUCGACGAGUCGAGUUGUUUGGGAAUGCAGCUCAAAACGGGUGGUAAAUUCCAUCUAAAGCUAAAUACAGGCGAGAGACCGAUAGCGAACAAGUACCGUGAGGGAAAGAUGAAAAGAACUUUGGAAAGAGAGUUAAACAGUACGUGAAAUUGCUGAAAGGGAAACGCUUGAUGUCAGUCACGUCCGCCAGGGAUCAACCUUGCUUAUCGUUGGGUGCAUUUCUUGGUUGGAUGGGUCAGCAUCAGUUUCGAUCGUUGUAAAAUGGUCAAGGGAACGUGGCACCUCUAGGGGUGUGUUAUAGCCUUUGGUCGUAUGCAUCGGUGGGGACUGAGGAACUCGGCACGACCUUCAUGGUUUCGUGUCUAGGAUGCUGGCAUAAUGGCCUUAAGCGACCCGUCUUG
rnacentral:rRNA from 1 species